rnacentral:rRNA from 1 species
AUUCCAGCUCCAAUAGCGUAUAUUAAAGUUGUUGCAGUUAAAACGCUCGUAGUCGGAUUUCGGGGCGGGCCGACCGGUCUGCCGAUGGGUAUGCACUGGCCGGCGCGUCCUUCCACCCGGAGACCGCGCCUACUCUUAACUGAGCGGGCGCGGGAGACGGGUCUUUUACUUUGAAAAAAUCAGAGUGUUUCAAGCAGGCAGUCGCUCUUGCAUGGAUUAGCAUGGGAUAAUGAAAUAGGACUCUGGUGCUAUUUUGUUGGUUUCGAACACCGGAGUAAUGAUUAAUAGGGUCAGUUGGGGGUAUUCGUAUUCCGUUGUCAGAGGUGAAAUUCUUGGAUUUACGGGAGACGAACGACUGCGAAAGCAUUUACCAAGGAUGUUUUCAUCG